GAAAUGCGAUAAGUAAUGUGAAUUGCAGAAUUCAGUGAAUCAUCGAAUCUUUGAACGCAUAUUGCGCCCCUUGGUAUUCCUUGGGGCACACCUGUUCGAGCGUCAUUUCACCAAUCAAGCCUCGCUUGGUUUUGGGCGAUGCGCACGUCGCACGCCUCAAAUGCCCCGGCCGAGCAGUCUCUCACCCGGCGUCGUGGAAACAUACCGCUACGGAGACGAGACCUGCCCGUGCCGCAGAAUAACCUAUUAACAAAGGUUGACCUCGGAUCAGGUGGGGAUACCCGCUGAACUUAA
rnacentral:misc_RNA from 1 species